GUGUCAGCCGCCGCGGUAAUACGUAGGUGGCAAGCGUUGUCCGGAUUUACUGGGCGUAAAGGAUGCGUAGGCGGACUUUUAAGUGGGAUGUGAAAUUCCGAGGCUCAACCUCGGCGCUGCAUUCCAAACUGGAAGUCUAGAGUGCGGGAGAGGAAAGUGGAAUUCCUAGUGUAGCGGUGAAAUGCGUAGAGAUUAGGAAGAACACCAGUGGCGAAGGCGACUUUCUGGACCGUAACUGACGCUGAUGCAUGAAAGCGUGGGGAGCAAACAGGAUUAGAUACCCGUGUAGUCC
rnacentral:rRNA from 1 species